GACGAACCGAGCGAACGUUGUUCGGAAUCACUGGGCUUAAAGGGCGCGUAGGCGGGCUGCCGCGUCCGGGGUGAAAUCCCACGGCUCAACCGUGGAACGGCCCCGGGUACGGGCGGCCUCGAGGGGGGUAGGGGCGUGCGGAACUGUGGGAGGAGCGGUGAAAUGCGUUGAUAUCCACAGGAACUCCGGUGGCGAAGGCGGCACGCUGGACCCCCACUGACGCUGAGGCGCGAAAGCCAGGGGAGCGAACGGG
rnacentral:rRNA from 1 species